UAAGGAGUUGCCCUCAGAGGUCGAUAAUUGGAGUUGCAAGAAUUCGAGAUUGAGUUGUGCUCGGUGAUUGUCCGUAGGUGUGCCUAGCCUGAUCAUCAGGAAUAGCGAGCGGGCCUGGCCUUUCCUAAAAGCUUAGGAGUCUCUGCCUGUUCAGCGAAAUUGGCUAUGAAGGAAACAGAAGCUUCGAGGAGCCAUAAAAUAAUCAGACAAAACGCCGA
rnacentral:misc_RNA from 1 species